GUCGAACGCUUCUUUCCUCCCGAGUGCUUGCACUCAAUUGGAAAGAGGAGUGGCGGACGGGUGAGUAACACGUGGGUAACCUACCCAUCAGAGGGGGAUAACACUUGGAAACAGGUGCUAAUACCGCAUAACAGUUUAUGCCGCAUGGCAUAAGAGUGAAAGGCGCUUUCGGGUGUCGCUGAUGGAUGGACCCGCGGUGCAUUAGCUAGUUGGUGAGGUAACGGCUCACCAAGGCCACGAUGCAUAGCCGACCUGAGAGGGUGAUCGGCCACACUGGGACUGAGACACGGCCCAGACUCCUACGGGAGGCAGCAGUAGGGAAUCUUCGGCAAUGGACGAAAGUCUGACCGAGCAACGCCGCGUGAGUGAAGAAGGUUUUCGGAUCGUAAAACUCUGUUGUUAGAGAAGAACAAGGACGUUAGUAACUGAACGUCCCCUGACGGUAUCUAACCAGAAAGCCACGGCUAACUACGUGCCAGCAGCCGC
rnacentral:rRNA from 1 species